UGACAAGGCAAUCACUGUGCUCACUUUGUGACCAGGCACAGAGCUGUCCAAGACGACAGCCAGAUGUCGGAGCGCUGGGAAACUGAGAAAGAAAACAGGUGGCCAGAGCAGAGCCCGGUGCAGUGGGGUUUUCCUCAUCCUUCGGGCAACCCCAUGCGACUCCUGGCCAUAACCAUCCUGUUCUUCAUGCUGCUGGACACAGUGUUCCUCCAGACUCUGGAGCAUCAGGAUCUUCCAAGUGCGGAAAGGGUCCCCCAUCUAAAUAUGAAGUUUGAUUCUUGGAGAAUGAAACUGAGUUGGGACUGCGAAGAAAACACUACCUACCUCGAAUGUGUGAUGAUUCACAAGGAGAAUGGACCCAUUAGCAUAAUACCCCAGGAGAAAGAAUGUCACUGCGAGUUUUCGGAUUAUUCUCUCCAUGAUGGAGUCACGCUUAUGGUUAAAGUAAAUAGCACCCAAAGACCGAUUCCAGAAACCCUGGUCUACGCUAACUCAGGUGGGAAUGGCACAGCUGCCCAGAAUUUCUCCUGUUUUAUCUACAAUGCAAACUUCAUGAACUGCAGUUGGGCAAAGGGUCAGGGUGCCCCUGAUGAUGUCCAAUAUUUUUUGUAUAUAAGAGACUCGAGGAAAAGAAGGGAAAGAGAGUGUCCUCAUUACAUAGAAGACUCGGGAACCCACGUGGGAUGUCACCUGGAAGACCUCUCGGGAUUAACUAACUACAAUUACUUCCUGGUGAACGGUACCAGCCAAAGGACGGGGGUCCAGUUCUUUGAUUCGGUUCUGUCGUGGAAGAAAAUCGAAAUAUAUAGCCCACCCAACAAUAUCAGCGUGCUCUGCAACGAGUCCCACUGCCUGAUCUGUUGGGAGAAGCCCAAGACCCGAUACAGGCUGUCCAACAUGGAGUUCAAAUACCAGCUGGACAUCCAGAGAAAGAGCAAUAAGGAAAACAGCGAGAAUCAACUGAUUGAGGUGCCCGGUAAUUUGGAGAAUAGCUACAACUUCCCAAGUCCGGAGCCCAGACCCAAGCAUACUGUGAAAAUAAGGACCUCGGACGCACGGAUCCAGAAGUGGGGCGCCUGGAGCCAGCCCAUUGAGUUUGGCUCCGAGGAAACCGCGCCCAGCCUCGUGCCCAUCUAUGCGCUGGUGGUCCUGGGGACCCUCAUCACGGUCCUGACCCUUGGCUGCCUUUUGAAAAGGUAAAACCCCGCGGACGGGUUGGCGUCAUCCUUGCAGACGGACGAGACGGACAAGGCGCUCGUUGGGAGGGAACGGGGGCCUUGCCCUGACCCUCGAGGGGCAGCACCGGCCGCACGUUCUCCGAUGCUUCCAGGCCCCUGGGUUGCCCUGAGCCCACCCGUGAGCCCUGUCCCUCCAGCUGGACGUGGACCCGCACCAAGCUCAGCUGUGCUCACGGACGGGCUGCGUUCAGCCUCAUGGGAAGGACCUUCCUCUUUCUGGAACGUCUCCCCACAACCCCUCGUCCAGCCCUUCAUGUCCCCCCAUAAGUCUUGCAGAGUCCUAGGGGCCCGCCUAAGGCCACUCCUCCUACACCCUGUCGGGACCCAGGAGGUGUCCUCCGGUGCUCACCCCUCGAUGACCCCGAUCCUAAUCUAGCGUCCCCUGUGCAUUUCCCUGAGCACUGACAGGCGAGCUAACGGCACAGGAAUGUAGCCUAGGGACAAGGACAGGACUCUGCCCGGCCUGCUGGACGGGAGCUGAUCCAGCACCAGUCUGGGAGCCUGGACCCGAGGGCAAAGGGGAACAGGGGCCGCCCCGCAACCCGCUGCCGGAACGGGACGGAGCGCGUGCUUUGCAUGAGAAUAGUUAUCUUAAUGAAAAGCUGUUUGAGUUUCCUGUGGCCACCGGGGAAAAAAAUGACCACAACCAGAAGGUUUGAAACAACAGAAAUGAAUCAUCUCCCAGGUCUGGAGACCAGAAGU